GAGAGUACAAAUUGAGUGCGCGGUUUGGCACCUCGAUGUCGGCUUAGCUCAUCCACAUGAACGCAGGAAUCAUGAAGGGUUCGACUGUUCGUCGAUUAAAGAGCUACAUGAGUUGGGUUUAAUACGUCGUGAGACAGUAUGGUUUCUAUCUUCUAGGGGAAUUUAGAGUAAAAUAGAGAUAGACCCCUUGUACGAAAGGAAUUGGGUAUGUUGACCUAUAGUUUACUUGUUGUUAUGU
rnacentral:rRNA from 1 species